UUUGUACUCCCUCCGUCCCAAAAUUCUUGUCUUAAAUUUGUCUAAAUACGGAUGUAUCUAGUUACAUUUUAGUGUUAGAUACAUCCGUAU
rnacentral:pre_miRNA from 1 species